GGCAUUCAAGGUUGGUCUGGCCCCAAGAACUGUACAGCAGCAGCAGCAGUUCAGCUGGCAGAGGUGCUGUUGCUGAGCUGGGAGUGGAAAGCACAUUUUCUCUUCAUGAUAGAUGGUGUACCUGCACGUGGGAAGGAAUAUUCCUGAUUUCCACUGGAUGACUUUGACUGGUAUGAUUUCAUUCUCUGAAAGUGUUAACCAGGGUGCAGCAUGGCCAGAAACCAUUCCGAGCCUCAUGAAGUGGGCAAGUCAGGUUUGGUCAUUUUUGUUCUACUGGCUUUGAAGAAGCAAGCUGCUAUGAUGUAAACUGACUAUGGAGAAGGCCACGUGACAGGGAAUUGGGUGUAGACUCUAGGAACUGAGGUCUUAAUCCUACAACUGCAAGGGGAUUAAAGUCUACCAACAACCACCUGGGCUUGGAAGAGGACCGCUGAUCUCCAGAUGAGAACGGAGCCUGACCAACACCUUGAGUGCCACCUUGUGAGACUCUGAGCAAAGACCCAGCUAAGCCACACUUAGACUCUUGACGUACAGAAAAUGUGAGAUAAGGAAUAAGAGGAGAAGGAAGAGGAGAGGUUGUUCCUCUCAGGGGUGGCAGAUGUGGAAGAAAAUUCAUGUGUAAUGUCAUUGCAUGUACACAGUUUAAGACAGAGCAUCUGGUGAUUCUCGGACCUUCAAGCAAGUGUCACAUCUCAGGGUGUGAGGUUUGGAGGGCCUCUCGUCAAAACUUUGGAGGGCUCUGUCAGUUUGAAAAGAACAUGACCUUUAAAUUGUAUCAGUAUGUUUGCUGGUGCAUAAGGGAGAGGAAAAGGUUCGUCCUGAUGGAAAACCACUCAGAAGCCAAGGAGUAAUUCAGAGGGAACCAGCCCAGGAAGAAUCAAGAAAGCUGCCCACAGUGUCAUUCUUCAGCUGAGAAAAGAGAGAGUUGACUAACUCCUCGGACUGGAGUGAGGACUCACAGAGGUGGUAGGACACUAACCAUCUAUGUCUCCAUUUCCUGGGUUGUAACACUGAGGUAGAACAUCUCACUGUCCCAUGGAGGAUUAUGUUAUUUUUGGAGAUUAAUAAUUUUGGAGGAAGAAAGGUGGCUUCCUGAAAAGGAAGUCACAUGAAGAAGCAACUUACACGGUGGUCUCUUUAAAUAAACAUAUUGUGACUAGACAA
rnacentral:lncRNA from 1 species